rnacentral:tRNA from 1 species
AGCAGAGUGGCGCAGCGGAAGCGUGCUGGGCCCAUAACCCAGAGCGUCGAUGGUUCGAAACCAUCCUCUGCUA